rnacentral:rRNA from 1 species
GAUGAACGCUAGCUACAGGCUUAACACAUGCAAGUCGAGGGGCAGCAGGGAUUUAGCUUGCUAAAUUCGCUGGCGACCGGCGCACGGGUGCGUAACGCGUAUCCAACUUUCCCGUUACUCAGGGAUAGCCUUCCGAAAGGGAGAUUAAUACCUGAUGGUGUUUGAAAUUCGCAUGUUCUUCAAACUAAAGAUUUAUCGGUAACGGAUAGGGAUGCGUGACAUUAGAUAGUAGGCGGGGUAACGGCCCACCUAGUCUACGAUGUCUAGGGGUUCUGAGAGGAAGGUCCCCCACACUGGAACUGAGACACGGUCCAGACUCCUACGGGAGGCAGCAGUGAGGAAUAUUGGUCAAUGGUCGGAAGACUGAACCAGCCAAGUAGCGUGAAGGAUGAAGGUUCUAUGGAUUGUAAACUUCUUUUAUACGGGAAUAAAACCUCCCACGUGUGGGAGCUUGUAUGUACCGUAUGAAUAAGCAUCGGCUAACUCCGUG